AGCUACAAGCUUUGAAUGAUUCAGCUUCCAUUAAAAUGAAGUCCACAAGUCUUUGACAAUUAAAGAGGUCUGAUGUAUUACAAGCAAGCCCUGAGACGAUGAUGUAUCUUCAUCAAAACGAAUCAGAAGACCAAUAAUCUGAUGUCCUAUACAAGUGUUAAAGUGACAUUUUAUUUCUAUAUAAGCCAUUAAGC